CGGUGGAGCAUUGUGGUUUAAUUCGAAGCAACGCGAAGAACCUUACCAGGUCUUGACAUCCCGAUGCUAUUUCUAGAGAUAGAAGUUACUUCGGUACAUCGGUGACAGGUGGUGCAUGGUUGUCGUCAGCUAGUGUCGUGAGAUGUUGGGUUAAGUCCCGCAACGAGCGCAACCCCUAUUGUUAGUUGCCAUCAUUCAGUUGGGCACUCUAGCGAGACUGCCGGUAUAAACCGGAGGAAGGUGGGGAUGACGUCAAAUCAUCAUGCCCCUUAUGACCUGGGCUACACACGUGCUACAAUGGUCUGAACAGAGGGCUGCGAAACCGCGAGGUGAAGCUAAUCCCUUAAAACAGAUCUCAGUUCGGAUUGCAGGCUGCAACUCGCCUGCAUGAAGUUGGAGUUGCUAGUAAUCGCAGAUCAGAAUGCUGCGGUGAAUGCGUUCCCGGGUCUU
rnacentral:rRNA from 1 species